GACGAACGCUGGCGGCGUGCUUAACACAUGCAAGUCGAACGGAAAGGCCCUGCUUUUGUUGGGUGCUCGAGUGGCGAACGGGUGAGUAACACGUGAGGAACCUGCCCUUGACUUUGUGAUAACUUCAGGAAACUGGGGCGAAUACCGGAUAGAAGCUCCUGCUGCAUGGUGUUGGUUGGAAAAUUUCGGUCGUGGGGGCUGGUCUAGCGGGUUACCAGCUGUUUAGGGGGGUAGGGGCGUUCAAGGCCUUUGACGGGUCGCCGCCAGGAGGGGGUGACCGGCCACCUUGGGACUGCGAUAGGGACCAGAAUGCUACGGGAGGCAGCAGUGGGGAAUAUUGCACAAUGGGCGGAAGCCUGAUGCGGCAACCCCGCGUGCGGGAUGACGGCCUUCGGGUUGUAAACCGCUUUCGCCUGUGACGAAGCGUGAGUGACGGUAAUGGGUAAAGAAGCAACGGCUAACUACGUG
rnacentral:rRNA from 1 species